UUUUUUUUUCCGUUAAAAAGAAAAUCUUCAAGGAAGCCAGUACGUUUAAUUUGUAAAACAAAUAAAAGCAAGAUUGUUCUGGUUGAAGCAUAGGUAAAAGGGCUCAGAGCCCCAGCUAGCCUUCAUUUCACCCUUCUCAGCCACUUCUGAGGCAUCCUUCAGAAAUCUCCAGAGGGCUGAGGAACAAAGUUUGAGAAAUCUCUAAAGACUUUACUAUCAACUCUAUUAUCAAUUACUUGAGGGGGUAAAAUUGACAGAGGUGCCUAGAAAAAUAAUAAUGAAUUUAAUAGUGCCACAGAAUCAUAUGACAGAAAAAGGGCGAAUUGACUUUUCCUAAAUCUGCCUGCUUCUCCUUGCAGGUUGAACCCAAUUUAAUGUCUAAAACCUCAUCCGACCCUUGUGCAAACGGUCAUCUAACCUCUAUAUGAACAAUAUGGCCAAAAUUUACUGCCUAACAAUUCAGUUCAUUCCACUUUGGGGUCCUCAAAUGAGUCAAAAUUUCCUUAUCAAGCCAAAAUUUGUCCUCCAUCACUAAAUAAAAGUUCUUAAUCUAUCUUCUGGAACUAAACCAGUAAAUCUAAUUGCUCCUUCAUCAUGACAGUCCUUCAAUUGUCUGAGGAGAGCUAUCAUGUCUGCCUUAUUUCCUUGUAUUCUCCCUUGCUCUUGCUCUGGCAUGACAUGAAUAUACCAUGGAGGCAGCCUGCUCCUGUUUUGGAUCAAGUUGAAUUUUUUUUUUCAACAGAAUCUCACACUGAUCUCGGCUCACUGCAACCUCUGCCUCAGGUUCAAGUGAUUCUCCUGCCUCAGCUGGGAUGACAGGCAUGUGCCAACAUGCCUGGAUAAUUUUUUGUAUUUUUGGUAGAGAUGGGGGGUUUUACCAUGUUGACCAGGCUGGUCUCAAACUCCUGACCUCAAGUGAUCUGCCUGCCUCGGCCUCCCAAAGUGCUGGGAUUACAGGCCGAGGCGGGCGGAUCACCUGAGGUCAGGAGUUCAAGACCAGCCUGGCUAACAUGGUGAAACCCCAUCUCUACUAAAAACACAAAAA
rnacentral:lncRNA from 10 species